rnacentral:rRNA from 1 species
CACGAGCGCACCCUCGCCUUUAGUUACCAUCAUUUAGUUGGGGACUCUAAAGGAACCGCCGGUGAUAAGCCGGAGGAAGGUGGGGAUGACGUCAAGUCCUCAUGGCCCUUACGCGCUGGGCUACACACGUGCUACAAUGGCGACUACAGUGGGCUGCGAACUCGCGAGGGUGAGCUAAUCUCCAAAAGUCGUCUCAGUUCGGAUUGUUCUCUGCAACUCGAGAGCAUGAAGGCGGAAUCGCUAGUAAUCGCGGAUCAGCAUGCCGCGGUGAAUACGUUCCCAGGCCUUGUACACACCGCCCGU